UGGGGAAUAUUGCACAAUGGGGGAAACCCUGAUGCAGCGACGCCGCGUGGAGGAAGAAGGUCUUCGGAUUGUAAACUCCUGUUGUUGAGGAAGAUAAUGACGGUACUCAACAAGGAAGUGACGGCUAACUACGUGCCAGCAGCCGCGGUAAAACGUAGGUCACAAGCGUUGUCCGGAAUUACUGGGUGUAAAGGGAGCGCAGGCGGGAGAACAAGUUGGAAGUGAAAUCCAUGGGCUCAACCCAUGAACUGCUUUCAAAACUGUUUUUCUUGAGUAGUGCAGAGGUAGGCGGAAUUCCCGGUGUAGCGGUGGAAUGCGUAGAUAUCGGGAGGAACACCAGUGGCGAAGGCGGCCUACUGGGCACCAACUGACGCUGAGGCUCGAAAGUGUGGGUAGCAAACAGGAUUAGAU
rnacentral:rRNA from 1 species